rnacentral:rRNA from 1 species
GGGACACGUGGUAUCCUGUCUGAAUAUGGGGGGACCAUCCUCCAAGGCUAAAUACUCCUGACUGACCGAUAGUGAACCAGUACCGUGAGGGAAAGGCGAAAAGAACCCCGGCGAGGGGAGUGAAAAAGAACCUGAAACCGUGUACGUACAAGCAGUGGGAGCACCUUCGGGUGUGACUGCGUACCUUUUGUAUAAUGGGUCAGCGACUUAUAUUCUGUAGCAAGGUUAACCGUAUAGGGGAGCCGCAGGGAAACCGAGUCUUAACUGGGCGUU